rnacentral:lncRNA from 1 species
UUGGAGAAUAGAACCAACAAAAAAUUUAAGGCAAAAGAGAGUAGAGAAGCAUGCAAGAGAGAGUGAAAGCAACGUCUAACUUUUCAAAAUUUUACAGUGGUUUCCAAAAAGAGAGACCUAUUGAAGCUAUGAAGGUUCACGAGAUUCUGUUAUUGGCAUGUCGUAAAAACAGAUAAAAUGCAGCAAUCACUCCAAAAUAAUGCCAUAAGGGCCCAUGCAAAAAAUAAGAUGUAACCAAUGUACACAGAAACCACUUUCAAGCACAUCACAUGUCCAC